UACGAAGGGGGCUAGCGUUGCUCGGAAUCACUGGGCGUAAAGGGUGCGUAGGCGGGUCUUUAAGGCGGGGGGGAAAUCCUGGAGCUCAACUCCAGAACUGCCUUUGAUACUGAAGAUCUUGAGUUCGGGAGAGGUGAGUGGAACUGCGAGUGUAGAGGUGAAAUUCGUAGAUAUUCGCAAGAACACCAGUGGCGAAGGCGGCUCACUGGCCCGAUACUGACGCUGAGGCACGAAAGCGUGGGGAGCAAACAGG
rnacentral:rRNA from 1 species